rnacentral:rRNA from 1 species
CCUACGGGAGGCAGCAGUGGGGAAUAUUGCACAAUGGGGGAAACCCUGAUGCAGCGACGCCGCGUGAGUGAAGAAGUAUUUCGGUAUGUAAAGCUCUAUCAGCAGGGAAGAAGAAAGACGGUACCUGACUAAGAAGCCCCGGCUAACUACGUGCCAGCAGCCGCGGUAAUACGUAGGGGGCAAGCGUUAUCCGGAUUUACUGGGUGUAACGGGAGCGUAGACGGCUGUGCAAGUCUGAAGUGAAAGCCCAGGGCUUAACCCUGGGACUGCUUUGGAAACUGUGGAGCUAGAGUGCUGGAGAGGUAAGUGGAAUUCCUAGUGUAGCGGUGAAAUGCGUAGAGAUUAGGAGGAACACCAGUGGCGAAGGCGGCUUACUGGACAGUAACUGACGUUGAGGCUCGAAAGCGUGGGGAGCAAACAGGAUUAGAUACCCUUGUAGUC